ACGAACAGGCGCAGGCCCCGGCGUCCGCCGCGCAGUUAGGAAACUGACGCGCUCUCCGGCCUCAGCGCCGCUUCGGGCACCCCGGCACCGGCCCCUGCUGCUUUGUAGCAUUCUGCAGCUGGGCUGCAGGCGCCGUGGGCCUCCGCCGGUUGUGUUCGAGACGCGGUUCGGCCACAGAAGUUUUAGCUGUGUGACUUUGGGCAAGUCAGUGGCCCUCUCUGGGCCUCAGGUGCCUUUUUUGCUGUGAGACCAGCGACUGUAUUUUUAACCCUGAUUUUAUCCCUAGAUCUACCCAACACAUAGUAGGUGCUCAAAAGAUAUUUAUGAGUGAAUGAAUGCAUCAUGAGAAGAAAUUGGACCAGAUGAGGCCCUGUGAAGCUGCUUGGGUUUUUUUUUGUUGUUCUUUUUUUUUUUUUCUCUUCUGAAUGUCCCUGGCCUGGACUAGAAAUUCUCCAUCCUUCGGCCUUUUGUGAGACUGCAGGAGCAUUACUUUUGAAGGACGCUAAGGAAUCCGAGGGAUGAAAAAAAUCAAGAGAUUGCAAUGAUGUCACAAAACAAGGAAACAAGUGCAGCAUAUUCACUCCGAAGCAGAAAUUUGCCAAAAAACCAUCCUCUUUUUAUCAGAAAAUAAAAUAUCCUGGUUUCUUAGCCUGGCA
rnacentral:antisense_RNA from 1 species